ACAUAUCUAGCUCAGUCAGUAGAGCAUGAGACUCUUAAUCUCAGGGUUGUGGGUUAGUGCCCCAUGUUGGGCA
rnacentral:tRNA from 1 species